rnacentral:rRNA from 1 species
ACGCUGGCCUCGCGCCCCCGAGAUCACUCCGGGGCUACGCCUGUCUGAGGGUCG